UACGUAGGGUGCGAGCGUUAAUCGGAAUUACUGGGCGUAAAGCGUGCGCAGGCGGUUCGUUGUGUCGGCGGUGAAAGCCCCGGGCUUAACCUGGGAAUGGCCGUUGAAACUGGCGGACUGGAGUGUGGCAGAGGGGGGUGGAAUUCCGCGUGUAGCAGUGAAAUGCGCAGAUAUCAAGAGGAACACCUAUUGCGAAGGCAGCUCGCUGGGACGUGACUGACGCUGAGACGCGAAAGCGUGGGGAGCAAACAGG
rnacentral:rRNA from 1 species